ACGGGAGGCAGCAGUAGGGAAUCUUCCGCAAUGGACGAAAGUCUGACGGAGCAACGCCGCGUGAGUGAUGAAGGCUUUCGGGUCGUAAAACUCUGUUGUUAGGGAAGAACAAGUGCUAGUUGAAUAAGCUGGCACCUUGACGGUACCUAACCAGAAAGCCACGGCUAACUACGUGCCAGCAGCCGCGGUAAUACGUAGGUGGCAAGCGUUAUCCGGAAUUAUUGGGCGUAAAGCGCGCGCAGGUGGUUUCUUAAGUCUGAUGUGAAAGCCCACGGCUCAACCGUGGAGGGUCAUUGGAAACUGGGAGACUUGAGUGCAGAAGAGGAAAGUGGAAUUCCAUGUGUAGCGGUGAAAUGCGUAGAGAUAUGGAGGAACACCAGUGGCGAAGGCGACUUUCUGGUCUGUAACUGACACUGAGGCGCGAAAGCGUGGGGAGCAAACAGGAUUAGAUACCCUGGUAGUCCACGCCGUAAACGAUGAGUGCUAAGUGUUAGAGGGUUUCCGCCCUUUAGUGCUGAAGUUAACGCAUUAAGCACUCCGCCUGGGGAGUACGGCCGCAAG
rnacentral:rRNA from 1 species